CCAGUAACGGCGAGUGAAGCGGCAACAGCUCAAAUUUGAAAUCUGGCUCUCGGGCCCGAGUUGUAAUUUGUAGAGGAUGCUUUUGGCGAGGUGCCUUCUGAGUUCCCUGGAACGGGACGCCAUAGAGGGUGAGAGCCCCGUAUAGUCGGACACCUAGCCUCUGUAAAGCUCCUUCGACGAGUCGAGUAGUUUGGGAAUGCUGCUCAAAAUGGGAGGUAUAUCUCUUCUAAAGCUAAAUACCGGCCAGAGACCGAUAGCGCACAAGUAGAGUGAUCGAAAGAUGAAAAGCACUUUGAAAAGAGGGUUAAAUAGCACGUGAAAUUGUUGAAAGGGAAGCGCUUGUGACCAGACUUGUGCCGGGCCGAUCAUCCAGUGUUCUCACUGGUGCACUCGGCCCGGUAUAGGCCAGCGUCGGUUUUCGUAGGGGGAUAAAAGCUUCGGGAACGUGGCUCCUCCGGGAGUGUUAUAGCCCGUAGUUUAAUACCCUUGCGGGGACCGAGGUUCGCGCUCUGCAAGGACGCUGGCAUAAUGGUCAUCAGCGACCCGUCUUGAAACACGGACCAAGGAGUCGAGGUUUUGCGCGAGUGUUUGGGUGUUAAACCCGCACGCGUAAUGAAAGUGAACGUAGGUGAGAGCUUCGGCGCAUCAUCGACCGAUCCUGAUGUAUUCGGAUGGAUUUGAGUAAGAGCGUAUAGCCUCGGACCCGAAAGAUGGUGAACUAUGCCUGUAUAGGGUGAAGCCAGAGGAAACUCUGGUGGAGGCUCGCAGCGGUUCUGACGUGCAAAUCGAUCGUC
rnacentral:rRNA from 1 species